rnacentral:rRNA from 1 species
GGUUGCGGCGUGCUUACCUGCAAGUCACGGGGGCCCGCAAGGGCAACCGGCGAACGGGUGCGUAACACGUGAACAACCUGCCCUCGUGUGGGGGAUAGCCGGGCUAACGCCCGGGUAAUACCGCAUACGUUCUGUUGGGGGAGUCCCUGGCAGAGGAAAGCUCCGGCGCACGGGGAGGGAUUCGCGGCCUAUCAGCUCGUUGGCGGGGUAAUGGCCCACCAAGGCGACGACGGGUAGCUGGUCUGAGAGGAUGGCCAGCCACAUUGGGACUGAAAGACGGCCCAGACUCCUACGGGAGGCAGCAGUGGGGAAUCUUGCGCAAUGGCCGAAAGGCUGACGCAGCGACGCCGCGUGUGGGAGGACGCCUUUCGGGGUGUAAACCACUGUUGCCCGGGACGAACACGGCUAUUCGUAGCCGCUGACGGUACCGGGUGAGGAAGCACCGGCUAACUCCGUGCCAGCAGCCGCGGUAAUACGGAGGGUGCGAGCGUUGUCCGGAAUCAUUGGGCGUAAAGGGCGUGUAGGUGGCCCGGUCAGCGUGCGGUGAAAGCUCGGGGCUCAACCCCGAGUCGGCCGUGCGAACUGCUGGGCUCGAGCACUGUAGAGGCAGGCGGAAUUCCGGGUGUAGCGGUGGAAUGCGUAGAGAUCCGGAAGAACACCGGUGGCGAAGGCGGCCUGCUGGGCAGUCGCUGACACUGAGGCGCGACAGCGUGGGGAGCAAACAGGAUUAGAUACCCUGGUAGUCCACGCCGUAAACGAUGGGCA